rnacentral:rRNA from 1 species
CACUUUGUUCUAAUGUAAAACUUUGUAAGUACUGGGCUAUGAUAUGGCAGCUCUGCUUUCAUGCCAGCAAGAAAUAUUGAUAAAUGCUAGUCAUAGUAAUUCAGCCAUGAACUUUGUGUGGGGCUUAUUUAGGUGCCAGCAGCCGCGGUCAUACCUGAGCACAAUCAAAGUCAUUUCAGCAGGUCACUCUAAUUAAGCUAGCCAAAAUCAGUGAAAUGUCUUGGUUAUCUUACCUUUCGUAGAAUUAUCAACCUAAACUCCACAAGUAAACUAGGAUUAGAUACCCUACUAUAAGGAGCCCAAACUAAACCGCUGAAGCACUAAAACUUCCAUAGUUAAAACUUAAAGAGCAUGGCGGCGGCCUAAAUUUUCAGGGGAACUUACCCGGUAAUUGAUAACCCUCAAGAGGUGCUACGUGUUUUUACCGUUUGUAUACCGCCGUCUUCAGGUGUCGUCUAAGAUAGCACCAGCCCUCCAAAAGAGAGAAGACAGGCCAUGGUGCAGCUUAUAAAUACGGACUGGGCGAGUUACAAUUAAAAAUGUUAUCAAAACCCAAGAAUAAAAACUUAAUUGAAGAUGGACUUGAAAGUAAUUAAUAAGAAAAUACUUCUUGAAUUUUUCUUGGGCCGUGCACAAAUCGCCCGUCACUCUCGUUGAAAAAGGAGAUAAGUCGUAACACAGUAGAAGUAGUGGAAGCUGCUUCU